rnacentral:rRNA from 1 species
AUUGAACGCUGGCGGCAGGCCUAACACAUGCAAGUCGAACGAGUGGCGGACGGGUGAGUAAUGUCUGGGAAACUGCCUGAGGGAGGGGGCUAAAUACUGGAAACGGUAGCUAAUACAGCAUACCAUCAGAUGUGCCCAGAUGGGAUUAGCUAGUUGGUGGGGUAACGGCUCACCACGGCGACGAUCACUAGCUGGUCUGAGAGGAUGACCAGCCACACUGGAACUGAGACCCGGUCCAGACUCCUACGUGAGGCAGCAGUGGGGAAUAUUGCACAAUGGGCGCAAGCCUGAUGCAGCCAUGCCGCGUGUAUGAAGAAGGCCUUCGGGUUGUAAAGUACUUUCAGCUGGGAGGCGUUACCCGCAGAAGAAGCACCGGCUAACUCCGUGCCAGCAGCCGCGGUAAUUC